UACGAAGGGGGCUAGCGUUGCUCGGAAUCACUGGGCGUAAAGCGCACGUAGGCGGACUCUUAAGUCGGUGGUGAAAUCCUGGAGCUCAACUCCAGAACUGCCUUCGAUACUGGGAGUCUCGAGUUCGGGAGAGGUGAGUGGAACUGCGAAGUGUAGAGGUGAAAUUCGUAGAUAUUCGCAAGAACACCAGUGGCGAAGGCGGCUUACUGGUCCGGUUCUGACGCUGAGGCGCGAAAAGCGUGGGGAGCAAACAGG
rnacentral:rRNA from 1 species